GACGAACGCUGGCGGCGUGCCUAAUACAUGCAAGUCGAGCGCAGGAAACUGACGGAACUCUUCGGAGGGAAGGCAGUGGAAUGAGCGGCGGACGGGUGAGUAACACGUAAGGAACCUGCCUCAAGGAUUGGGAUGACUCCGAGAAAUCGGAGCUAAUACCGGAUAGAUCAACGGACCGCAUGGUCCGCUGAUGAAAGGCGCUCCGGCGUCACCUUGAGAUGGCCUUGCGGUGCAUUAGCUAGUUGGUGGGGUAACGGCCCACCAAGGCGACGAUGCAUAGCCGACCUGAGAGGGUGAUCGGCCACACUGGGACUGAGACACGGCCCAGACUCCUACGGGAGGCAGCAGUAGGGAAUCUUCCACAAUGGACGAAAGUCUGAUGGAGCAGCGCCGCGUGAGUGAUGAAGGUUUUCGGAUCGUAAAACUCUGUUGUAAGGGAAGAACACGUACGAGAGGAAAUGCUCGUACCUUGACGGUACCUUACGAGAAAGCCACGGCUAACUACGUGCCAGCCGCCGCAGUAAAAC
rnacentral:rRNA from 1 species